UACGUAGGGGGCAAGCGUUGUCCGGAAUCAUUGGGCGUAAAGAGCGCGUAGGCGGUCCAGUAAGUCCGCUCUGAAAGCCCGGGGCUCAACCCCGGAACUGCCUUUGAAACUAGAUGACUAGAAUCUUGGAGAGGUCAGUGGAAUUCCGAGUGUAGAGGUGAAAUUCGUAGAUAUUCGGAAGAACACCAGUGGCGAAGGCGACUGACUGGACAAGUAUUGACGCUGAGGUGCGAAAGCGUGGGGAGCAAACAGG
rnacentral:rRNA from 1 species